rnacentral:rRNA from 1 species
UACGGAGGAUGCGAGCGUUAUCCGGAUUUAUUGGGUUUAAAGGGUGCGUAGGCGGGAUGCCAAGUCAGCGGUAAAAAUGCGGUGCUCAACGCCGUCGAGCCGUUGAAACUGGCGUUCUUGAGUGGGCGAGAAGUAUGCGGAAUGCGUGGUGUAGCGGUGAAAUGGAUAGAUAUCACGCAGAACUCCGAUUGCGAAGGCAGCAUACCGGCGCCCUACUGACGCUGAGGCACGAAAGCGUGGGUAUCGAACAGG